rnacentral:rRNA from 1 species
CGUAGGGGGCGAGCGUUGUCCGAAGUUACUGGGCGUAAAGCGCGCGUAGGCGGGGGGUUAAGUGAGAGGUGAAAGGCUGGGGCUCAACCUCAUGCAGUGCCUCUCAUACUGGCUCUCUUGAGGGCGGUAGGGAGAAGUGGAAUGGCUGGUGUAGCGGUGAAAUGCGUAGAUAUCAGUCGGAACACCGGUGGCGAAGGCGGCUUCUUGGGCCGUUCCUGACGCUGAGGCGCGAAAGCUGGGGGAGCGAACGGGAUUAGAUACCCCGGUAGUCCCAGCCGUAAACGAUGGAUACUAGGUGUCGGGGGUAUCGACCCCCCCGGUGCCGCAGCUAACGCAUUAAGUAUCCCGCCUGGGGAGUACGGCCGCAAGGUUG